AUGAACGCUGGCGGCGUGCCUAAUACAUGCAAGUCGAGCGAACAGAUGAGGAGCUUGCUCCUCUGACGUUAGCGGCGGACGGGUGAGUAACACGUGGAUAACCUACCUAUAAGACUGGGAUAACUUCGGGAAACCGGAGCUAAUACCGGAUAAUAUAUUGAACCGCAUGGUUCAAUAGUGAAAGACGGUUUUGCUGUCACUUAUAGAUGGAUCCGCGCCGCAUUAGCUAGUUGGUAAGGUAACGGCUUACCAAGGCAACGAUGCGUAGCCGACCUGAGAGGGUGAUCGGCCACACUGGAACGGGAACACGGUCCAGACUCCUACGGGAGGCAGAAGUAGGGAAUCUUCCGCAAUGGGCGAAAGCCUGACGGAGCAACGCCGCGUGAGUGAUGAAGGUCUUCGGAUCGUAAAACUCUGUUAUUAGGGAAGAACAAAUGUGUAAGUAACUAUGCACGUCUUGACGGUACCUAAUCAGAAAGCCACGGCUAACUACGUG
rnacentral:rRNA from 1 species